rnacentral:lncRNA from 1 species
AUGCCAUCCCUGCUCCUGAGCUCGCAGCUGGGGCAAAUGCACUUCAGUCCUGACUUGCAAAUCCUUUUAGCAAACACCUCCUGUUCUGCCUUAACGUGCCAGGCUGUGCGGUGGCUUCAUUUUGAGGAAAAAAAAAAAACAAACCAACAAGCGAAUAAUUUGGCUUUACUAAGUUUUGAGCAGCCCUUCUUCAACCUGGUGCCUUUUCCCAAGUUACUGGUUAGGACCCUUUCGAUUGAAAUCUUCAAAAGGUGCAAUCUCAACUCUCCAGCGAAAAACCAACUCUCUCCUAGUGGUAGGUGCAGGUUGUUUACAAACUUGUGGAGAAACUCAAAUUGUAGAAAGGGAACUCGAAGGUCAGAUUACAGGGGAUUUUUUUUUUCUUUUUUUCUUUCACUUUGCUCAGAUUUUGUUACUUUUCCAGGGACUGAUCCAAAGCCCUCGGAGGUCAGUUGGGAAAUGCCUGCUGCUCCCUUGGAAGCCCGAGGCAUUUUCCCAAGGACGUCGGUGGGUUUUGAGUCAGCCCCUGAACGUGUUUUCCAAAUGAUGGUAAUUUUCAGAGUGACACCUUGAUUUUUUUUCCCUGUACAAACAGACCUGCUUGUCACUUACACACAUUUACCUGUGUUCAAACAUACAGGUUUGGUUUGGUUUUGGGUUUUUUUUUGCUUUCAGAAACAAUAUGCUGCUAGACACAUUUCCUGGAGGGAAAUGGACACCUACCUACACACAAAGCUAUACAGCUAAUUUAUACCUUGUUGAAUUUAUAAUCUUGUCUAUGCUUCUAUGGACACUUUGUAUGGGCUGCAGCUCAAAUCCUAAAAUAGUCAAGAAUUUUUCCUUUCCCAUAUAGUAUUCUAUUUACUUUGACUUAAAAAAAAAAAAGCGUAUAAAUGCAAUAAUGCAGGUAGACUAGAAAUACUAGAUUGAAAAUUAAAGUAGUUUAGCUUGUCCCAUUGUGACUGACAGUGUUGUACGACACCCAACGCUGUACCCUAACAUUUUCCAGGCUUUCUACGUAGCUGAAUCUAGUAUUAGCUUUGAAAACCCAUUGUAUGAGUGGUGGGUGGAUGGGUUGGAAACGUGUGCUCUCUACACACUGUAUGUUACUCACAUCAGAAGCUGUAUGGCCACUCCAUAUGCUGUGAAACUGUAAAUUAUUCCCAAUACACCUGUAACUCUUACCAGGAUUGUGAGAAAUAAACUAUAUAUAGAGAUAUAUAUACA